GACGAACGCUGGCGGCGUGCUUAACACAUGCAAGUCGAACGGAAAGGCCCUGCUUUUGUGGGUUUCUCGAGUGGCGAACGGGUGAGUAACACGUGAGUAACCUGCCCUUGACUUUGGGAUAACUUCAGGAAACUGGGGCGAAUACCGGAUAUGAGCUCCUGCUGCAUGGUGGGGGUUGGAAAGUUUCGGCUGUUGGGGAUGGACUCGCGGCUUAUCAGCUUGUUGGUGGGGUAGUGGCUUACCAAGGCUUUGACGGGUAGCCGGCCUGAGAGGGUGACCGGCCACAUUGGGACUGAGAUACGGCCCAGACUCCUACCGGCGGCAGCAGUGGGGAAUAUUGCACAAUGGGCGGAAGCCUGAUGCAGCAACGCCGGGUGCGGAAUGACGGCCUUCGGGUUGUAAACCGAUUUCGAAUGUGACGAAGCGUGAGUGACGGUAAUGGGUAAAGAAGCACCGGCUAACUACGUG
rnacentral:rRNA from 1 species